GACGGGGGGUCCAAGCGUUGUUCGGAAUCAUUGGGCGUAAAGCGGGCGUAGGUGGCUAUGUAAGUCAGGAGUGAAAGCCCUGGGCUCAACCCAGGAAGUGCUCUUGAUACUGCUUAGCUUGAAUGUGGGAGAGGGUAGUAGAAUUCCAGGUGUAGUGGUGAAAUACGUAGAUAUCUGGAGGAAUACCGGUGGCGAAGGCGGCUACCUGGCCCAACAUUGACACUGAGGCCCGAAAGCGUGGGGAUCAAACAGG
rnacentral:rRNA from 1 species